rnacentral:tRNA from 62 species
GCCGGAGUGGCGGAAUCGGCAGACGCACAGGACUUAAAAUCCUGCGGUAGGUGACUACCGUACCAGUUCAAGUCUGGUCUUCGGCACCA